ensembl:snRNA U1 U1 spliceosomal RNA
AUACCUAGCAGGGGGAUGCCAUGAUUACGAAGAUGGUUUUCACAGGAUGAGGGCUUAUCCUUAGCCCUUGGCAUAUGAUGACCUCUGCAAUUUCCCCAAAUGUGGAAAACAGAAUUGUAAUUUAUGGAAGUUGGGAACUGCCUUUGUGCUUUCCCCUU